rnacentral:rRNA from 1 species
CAGUAGCCGCGGUAAUACAGAGGGUGCGAGCGUUAAUCGGAUUUACUGGGCGUAAAGCGUGCGUAGGCGGCUUCUUAAGUCGGAUGUGAAAUCCCUGAGCUUAACUUAGGAAUUGCAUUCGAUACUGGGAAGCUAGAGUAUGGGAGAGGAUGGUAGAAUUCCAGGUGUAGCGGUGAAAUGCGUAGAGAUCUGGAGGAAUACCGAUGGCGAAGGCAGCCAUCUGGCCUAAUACUGACGCUGAGGUACGAAAGCAUGGGGAGCAAACAGGAUUAGAUACCCCAGUAGUCCCUGUCUAUUAUAC